rnacentral:rRNA from 1 species
CCUACGGGUGGCAGCAGUAGGGAAUUUUCGGCAAUGGGGGAAACCCUGACCGAGCAACGCCGCGUGAACGAAGACGUUAUUCGUAAUGUAAAGUUCUUUUAACAGGGAAGAAAGAGAAGUUUGACGGUACCUGAGGAAUAAGCUCCGGCUAACUACGUGCCAGCAGCCGCGGUAAUACGUAGGGAGCGAGCGUUAACCGGAUUUAUUGGGCGUAAAGGGUGCGUAGAUGGCAUAGUAAGUCUGUUGUAAAAAUGCUGGGCUCAACCCAGUAGGGCAAAAGAUACUGCAAAGCUAGAGUAUGACAGAGGCAAGUGGAACUACAGGUGUAGCGGUAAAAGGCGUAAAUAUAUGUAAGAACACCAGUGGCGAAGGCGGCUUGCUGGGUCGAUACUGACAUUGAAGCACGAAAGCGUGGGUAUCGAACAGGAUUAGAUACCCCAGUAGGC